rnacentral:rRNA from 1 species
GGGCCCGCACAAGCAGUGGAGCAUGUGGUUUAAUUCGAUGCAACGCGAAGAACCUUACCAGGGCUUGACAUACUACAAAUCUUUUAGAGAUAGAAGAGUGCUUUCGAGAAUGUAGAUACAGGUGGUGCAUGGCUGUCGUCAGCUCGUGUCGUGAGAUGUUGGGUUAAGUCCCGCAACGAGCGCAACCCUCGUUUUUAGUUGCCAAUUUAUUGGUUUUUUAGAAAGACUGCCGGUGACAAACCGGAGGAAGGUGAGGAUGACGUCAAGUCAGCAUGCCCCUUAUGUCCUGGGCUACACACGUGCUACAAUGAUGGGGACAAAGAGUUGCCAAUCCGCGAGGAUGAGCUAAUCUCAUAAACUCCAUCUAAGUUCGGAUUGUAGGCUGCAACUCGCCUACAUGAAGUUGGAAUU